CCUACGGGAGGCAGCAGUGAGGAAUAUUGCACAAUGGGGGAAACCCUGAUGCAGCGACGCCGCGUGAGUGAAGAAGUAUUUCGGUAUGUAAAGCCCUAUCAGCAGGGAAGAAAAUGCCGGUACCUGUUUAAGACGCCACGGCUAACUACGUGACAGCAGCCGCGGUUAUACGUCGGGGGCCAGCGUUAUCCGGAUUUACUGGGUGUAAAGGGAGCGUAGACGGCAGCACAAGUCUGGAGUGAAACGCCGGGGCUUAACCCCGGAACUGCUUUGGAAACUGUGCAGCUAGAGUGCAGGAGAGGUAGGUGGAAUUCCUAGUGUAGCGGUGAAAUGCGUAGAUAUUAGGAGGAACACCAGUGGCGAAGGCGGCUUACUGGACUGUAACUGACGUUGAGGCUCGAAAGCGUGGGGAGCAAACAGGAUUAGAUACCCGGGUAGUC
rnacentral:rRNA from 1 species